AUACUUACCUAGCAGGGGAGAUACCAUGAUCAUGAAGGUGGUUUCUCCAGGGCGAGAAUCACCCAUUGCACUUCAUGUAUGCUGACCCCUGCGAUUUCCCCAAAUGUGGGAAACUCGACUGCACAAUUUGUGGUAGUAGGGGAAUGCGUUCACACUCUCCCCUG